rnacentral:lncRNA from 1 species
AUUAAUUACAAGAUGGCACUAAAAUUAAUUUAAUUAUUUCAAAUUACUAACUUUCCAUUAAAAUAUAUCCAGGAAUUAAAAUUUGGCAAGUAUUAGGUUCAAACUAUGUAUACAUUUUUUUUUGCAGUUUUACACCCCUUUCCAAUCAGUGAGAUUACUAAGGGAUGGGGCCAGUUCCAAUCAUGGACUGCAUCCACACUUGUGGAGGGUGGAUCAAAUGGUGAAGGAUGGGAAUCACCAGGCUGGGUUCAGAACCCCAAAAAAACUUUUCAAGAGAUGCUGGACUUGAGUUGCAAAUCUAAGUCCUC